rnacentral:rRNA from 1 species
GGAGUUAGCCGGUGCUUCUUCUGUGAGUGAUGUCCUUCCUGCCGGCUAUUAACCCGCAGGCCUUCUUCCUCACUGAAAGUGCUUUACAACCCGAAGGCCUUCUUCACACACGCGGCAUGGCUGGAUCAGGGUUGCCCCCAUUGUCCAAUAUUCCCCACUGCUGCCUCCCGUAGGAGUCUGGGCCGUGUCUCAGUCCCAGUGUGGCUGAUCAUCCUCUCAGACCAGCUACGGAUCGUCGCCUUGGUGAGCCGUUACCUCACCAACCAGCUAAUCCGACAUAGGCUCAUCCGAUAGCGCGAGGCCCGAAGGUCCCCCGCUUUCCCCCGUAGGGCGUAUGCGGUAUUAGCCUGGGUUUCCCCAGGUUAUCCCCCACUACCGGGCAGAUUCCUAUGCAUUACUCACCCGUCCGCCGCUCGCCACCAGGGAGCAAGUCCCGUCCCGUCGUCGUCGCCGUCCGUACCGUACGUUCGACUAGUGUUAGGUUACCGGUCCGUCCGGCCCGACCGACGUCCGUACUACUUCGUAGACGACCGAAGUAACUAACCUAAACCUUCGUACGUACGUAGGACGGGCGGGUCGGUCGGACGGAACGGCCGACUAGUAG